CCCUGUGAACAUACCACUUGUUGCCUCGGCGGAUCAGCCCGCUCCCGGUAAAACGGGACGGCCCGCCAGAGGACCCCUAAACUCUGUUUCUAUAUGUAACUUCUGAGUAAAACCAUAAAUAAAUCAAAACUUUCAACAACGGAUCUCUUGGUUCUGGCAUCGAUGAAGAACGCAGCAAAAUGCGAUAAGUAAUGUGAAUUGCAGAAUUCAGUGAAUCAUCGAAUCUUUGAACGCACAUUGCGCCCGCCAGUAUUCUGGCGGGCAUGCCUGUUCGAGCGUCAUUUCAACCCUCAAGCACAGCUUGGUGUUGGGACUCGCGUUAAUUCGCGUUCCUCAAAUUGAUUGGCGGUCACGUCGAGCUUCCAUAGCGUAGUAGUAAAACCCUCGUUACUGGUAAUCGUCGCGGCCACGCCGUUAAACCCCAACUUCUGAAUGUUGACCUCGGAUCAG
rnacentral:rRNA from 1 species